rnacentral:rRNA from 1 species
AAACAAAUGACUCUCGGCAACGGAUAUCUCGGCUCUUGCAUCGAUGAAGAACGUAGCGAAAUGCGAUACUUGGUGUGAAUUGCAGAAUCCCGUGAACCAUCGAGUCUUUGAACGCAAGUUGCGCCCGAAGCCAUUAGGCCGAGGGCACGCCUGCCUGGGUGUCAC